rnacentral:lncRNA from 1 species
UCAAUGUCCAUUUUGGGAUCUUUUAAAUAAUGAAGGACUAGUCUUGGCACCAAGGAGUGGAAUGAUAGAGAGGUAAACCAAGAUAUUGGAUAGGUAAUUUAGAGACCUGAUAGCCAAGCAUUUCGCCGAAGGUGUUCCCCAACUGAUCUAAAACUCCCAAACCUACCAACUGAGAUUUGAGAAAGUUGAUUUUCAAAUUAGUUGUCAGCUCAACGGCAUACAAAAUGAA